rnacentral:rRNA from 1 species
AUUGAACGCUGGCGGAAUGCUUUACACAUGCAAGUCGAACGGCAGCACGGACUUCGGUCUGGUGGCGAGUGGCGAACGGGUGAGUAAUGUAUCGGAACGUGCCCAGUCGUGGGGGAUAACGUAGUGAAAAUUACGCUAAUACCGCAUACGACCUAUGGAUGAAAGCGGGGGAUCGCAAGACCCCGCGCGAUUGGAGCGGCCGAUAUCAGAUUAGGUAGUUGGUGGGGUAAAGGCCCACCAAGCCAACGAUCUGUAGCUGGUCUGAGAGGACGACCAGCCACACUGGAACUGAGACACGGUCCAGACUCCUACGGGAGGCAGCAGUGGGGAAUUUUGGACAAUGGGCGAGAGCCUGAUCCAGCCAUUCCGCGUGCAGGAUGAAGGCCCUCGGGUUGUAAACUGCUUUUGUACAGAACGAAAAGGUUUCUACUAAUACUAGGAGCUCAUGACGGUACUGUAAGAAUAAGCACCGGCUAACUACGUGCCAGCAGCCGCCGUAA